GACGUAGGGCGCAAGCGUUGUCCGGAUUUAUUGGGCGUAAAGAGCUCGUAGGCGGCUUGUCGCGUCGACUGUGAAAACCCGUGGCUCAACCAUGUGGUCUGCAGUCGAUACGGGCAGGCUAGAAUUCGGUAGGGGAGACUGGAAUUCCUGGUGUAGCGGUGAAAUGCGCAGAUAUCAGGAGGAACACCGGUGGCGAAGGCGGGUCUCUGGGCCGAUAUUGACGCUGAGGAGCGAAAGCGUGGGGAGCGAUCCGG
rnacentral:rRNA from 1 species